rnacentral:rRNA from 1 species
GACGAACGCUGGCGGCGCGCCUAACACAUGCCAGUCGAACGAGCGAGAGAGAGCUUGCUUUCUCGAGCGAGUGGCGAACGGGUGAGUAACGCGUGAGGAACCUGCCUCAAAGAGGGGGACAACAGUUGGAAACGACUCCUAAUACCGCAUAAGCCCACGACCCGGCAUCGGGUAGAGGGAAAAGGAGCAAUCCGCUUUGAGAUGGCCUCGCGUCCGAUUAGCUAGUUGGUGAGGUAACGGCCCACCAAGGCGACGAUCGGUAGCCGGACUGAGAGGUUGAACGGCCACAUUGGGACUGAGACACGGCCCAGACUCCUACGGGAGGCAGCAGUGGGGAAUAUUGCACAAUGGGGGAAACCCUGAUGCAGCGACGCCGCGUGGAGGAAGAAGGUCUUCGGAUUGUAAACUCCUGUUGUUGAGGAAGAUAAUGACGGUACUCAACAAGGAAGUGACGGCUAACUACGUG